AUAUGUGCGCCCGGAGCUUUGAAUCUCUUCUGUGGCCCCAGCAGCCGCCAUGCUGAGCUGAGAGACCCGGCAGACUUUCACGCCGCCACUUCUGCACGUCCUCGCUGCGUUACAAAGGAAGACGUCCCCGCGACCCGUGUUCCAGCAUUAGGACCUGGCGCUGUCCUCUUCAUCCAUUUCCAGCUGUGUGAAGAAAGCAAAGAGAAGUUUUAAUGAAUCAGUUUUCCCCUGCCGACGCUAUGGCCGACAAGGUUAACUUUACGGUUUCGAAGCUAUCGGAGUCCAAUAUGGGGUUUGGCGUGCUGGGGGUGUUUCUGGGGCUGCUCCUGGAGGUCUCCACCCACGGACCCCACACUGUGCCUCGGACGUCUUGGAAGCACCACGAUUUGGGUCUGAUGGAGUUUUCGGAGCCCGGGAUAUUCAACUACUCCACUCUGCUGCUGAGCGAAGAGAAGGCUGCGCUGUACGUGGGGGCCAGAGAGGCCAUUUUUGAGCUCAGCAUGACAAAUGUGACCAUCAGAAACAACAAGGUUCAGUGGACAGUAGCGGAAACCCCCAUGAACAUGUGCGCACUUAAGGGGAAGUCAAAAGAGAGGGAUUGUCUGAACUACAUCCGGGUUCUCCAAGUUGUAGACGAUGAGCGGCUGUACGUCUGCGGGACAUACGCCUUUCAGCCUCAGUGUGACCACUUGAACCUUGGUGACUUUUCGCUGGCGGGUCGGAUUGAAGACGGCAGAGGGAAGUGUUCCUUUGACCCGUCACAAAGCUUCACCACAGUCAUGGUUGAUGGAGAUCUGUACUCUGGGACAGCUUAUAACUUCCUGGGCAGCGAGCCCAUUAUUUCCAGAUAUUCCCAGUCCCGCUCUCUUCUGAGGACGCAGUAUUCCACGUCAUGGCUAAACGAGCCGAGUUUCGUGUUUGCCGACGUGAUCAGAGGAGGGAAAAGCAGAGCAGAUGGCGAUGACGACAAAAUCUAUUACUUCUUCACCGAAGUGUCGGUGGAAUACGAGUUCUUUGGCAAGCUGCUCAUCCCCAGGGUGGCUCGCGUCUGCAAGGGGGACCUUGGCGGCGAGCGCACGCUGCAGAAGAAAUGGACGUCUUUUCUGAAAGCGAAGCUGGUGUGCUCCAUGCCAGAGCUCAACUUCGUUUUCAACGUGGUGCAGGACAUUUUCACCCUGAAGGGGGCGGAGUGGAAAGACACCGUUUUCUACGGAGUCUUCACCUCUCAGUGGGGGAAUGUGGGUUUGUCAGCUGUGUGCGCCUACAACGUGUCGGCUGUGGAGGAAGUCUUCUCCAAGGGGAAGUAUAUGCAGAAGGCCACAGUGGAACAGUCGCACACCAAGUGGGUGCGAUACAACGGCGUCACACCGUCUCCACGCCCCGGAGCAUGCAUUAACAACCUGAUGAGACGGCAGAACAUCAACAGCUCCCUCCACCUGCCAGACAAAACCCUCCAGUUUGUUAGAGAUCACCCCCUGCUGGAAGAUCCCGUCCUGCCCAUCGGCAACAAGCCGCGCCUCAUCACCAAAGACGUCAACUACACCCAGAUUGUGGUGGAAAGAGUCGAAGCGCUGGACGGAAACACCUAUGAUAUAAUCUUCACUGGAACAGAUAAAGGGAUGCUUCACAAGUCGGUGCUGUUUGAAGGCGAGGUUCACAUUGUUGAGGAGAUGCAGCUGCUGAAGAGCGACGAGCCCAUCAAGAAUCUUCUGCUCUCCUCUGAGACGCGCUCCAUGUAUGCUGGUUCCGACUCUGGUGUUGUGCAGUCGCCCACUGCCUUCUGUAGCAGGUACACGUCCUGCCAGGACUGUGUCCUGGCUCGAGACCCAUACUGUGCCUGGGACCCAAAAAGCAGGACCUGCAUCAGUAUCUUUGAUGCUCCUAGCCAGCAGCGCAGGAGGCUCGUCCAGAGUCUGAGAGGGGAUGCAGACAGGUGUCCUUCAGUGGCAUCUCUGUCUCAGAAGGACUUCCAGCGAGUGGCGGCGAAGCCGGGGAGCUCUGCCGUGCUGCCGUGUCUGCUGAAAUCCAACCUGGCUCAGGUGACGUGGAGGCUGAACGGCUCCGAUCUCACAGAGGCGUCCCGCUUCCACUUCAUCGGCGAAAACGGGCUCCUCAUUUACAGCGUGGCUCCUGAAGAACAGGGCUACUAUGAGUGCUGGAGCGUGGAAUGGGUUCCUGCCGCUGGGAAGAACUUUAGCUUCCUCCUGGCUGGAUAUGUGCUGACUCUGGAUCUUCCUGUCAGAACCGUGCCGCGAGGGACAAACGGGAGCAGCUCCCCCAACAGCCCAGAGGCAGGGAGCGAGGCUGCAGCUGAAGCCUCCUCUUCAUCCUCCUCACUCUCCUCUGGCGGGAGCUCUGCCCUUCCCUCCUUCUCCUCUUCUUCCACCAAACUUCACACUGUGGAGGCUCGGGAGGCGGAGGUGAGACUUCUGCCUCCCCUGCUGAAGGACCAGGCCUGGGGGCUUCAUGCCCACGGGGCCUUCCUGCUCUUCUGCCUUGCUCUUGAAAUGAACCCUUUUGUCAUUCCGACCUAUUGCAUGCCCCGGCGACAUCCACAUUCACUGGCUUUUAGACGGGCGUCAUCUGGACACCCCUGUGGUGGAGUUUCGGCAGCAGCUGGGGCGGGCGGAGGUACUGGUGAGCAGCUGGGUCAGGGAAGGGCCGCCGAUGAAGGACGCCCGUUACCAGUGUGUUGCUGAAGGCAAAACAGGAAGUGACACAUCUGAGGUCAACGUUCAUCUACCUAUUAGAGAUGAGAACAUUCCAUCCAGGGAUUUGAAUCAGUGGAGAAGUGCACUCACAGAACACGAGCAGCUAAUAAAAAGAUGGGAAAAGGCUUUGGAAAGCUGUGAUGGGAACACAGCUUUGUGAACAUGUUUGAAAACUGGUUGGGAAUUGGCCCCCCUACUCCAGCUGGAACACACCGCUGAUGGGGAACCUUUCGUAGGGAUUGAAUGUCUCCCUGUCUUGCUUCCUGAAAAGGCUCCGGUGGACCAUGAAGCCGUGAUUUGACAGUUCCUGCCACCAGCAUGGUUCGGUCUGGUUCCACUGGGGUUCUGGAGCUCCUCCUUCCACCUGAAGAUGCUGGCGCUUCAGCUGUGUUUUUACUGAAGCAGACAAAUAUUUUGACGUCAGCGCCUGCACGGAGCAGUGGAACUACACAGUUCAGACAGAAGUGUCUGUGAAGCUUUUUUUCUUUUCUUUUCUUUUCUUUUUUUUUUGGAAGAAUUGAUCAGGUGUUUGCACCUCAAGUUAAAAAAAAAAAUAAAGAAAAAGUUUGGUUGGUUUUUUGCAUUGCAAUUAUAUACAGCUGGCAUUUGUGUCUCCGUACUUUCUGCAUUUAUAGCUGCACCCUUAAACCUCUUAAGGAUCAAACAUCAAUGGAAUAUUCUGACAAUUUGCUUACCUAACCUUAAAAAAUGUCUGCUUUUCUGAUAUUGUCAUCCACAGAUGGAGCCACAGCGCCAUCUAGUGUCAAAAAAAACAUUCAAAGGAAGGCACAUGAAUCCAUGAAUGGCAUUGGUCACAAUAUUUUAUAUAAAUAAAUAAUCAAACAAAUUAAACAGAAAAGAAAGGAUAGAAUUCUGUUUGUAACAAAAUUCUCUCAAUGUAAAUAAACAUUUAUUAACG